CAGGUUUACCUGUGUGACUGCGUACCUUUUGUAUAAUGGGUCAGCGACUUAUAUUCUGUAGCAAGGUUAACCGUAUAGGGGAGCCGGAGGGAAACCGAGUCUUAAUUGGGCGUUAAGUUGCAGGGUAUAGACCCGAAACCCGGUGAUCUAGCCAUGGGCAGGUUGAAGGUUGGGUAACACUAACUGGAGGACCGAACCGACUAAUGUUGAAAAAUUAGCGGAUGACCUGUGGCUGGGGGUGAAAGGCCAAUCAAACCGGGAGAUAGCUGGUUCUCCCCGAAAGCUAUUUAGGUAGCGCCUCGUGAAUUCAUCUCCGGGGGUAGAGCACUGUUUCGGCUAGGGGGCCAUCCCGGCUUACCAACCCGAUGCAAACUGCGAAUACCGGAGAAUGUUAUCACGGGAGACACACGGCGGGUGCUAACGUCCGUCGUGAAGAGGGAAACAACCCAGACCGCCAGCUAAGGUCCCAAAGUCAUGGUUAAGUGGGAAACGAUGUGGGAAGGCCCAGACAGCCAGGAUGUUGGCUUAGAAGCAGCCAUCAUUUAAAGAAAGCGUAAUAGCUCACUGGUCGAGUCGGCCUGCGCGGAAGAUGUAACGGGGCUAAACCAUGCACCGAAGCUGCGGCAGCGACACUGUGUGUUGUUGGGUAGGGGAGCGUUCUGUAAGCCUG
rnacentral:rRNA from 1 species